rnacentral:rRNA from 1 species
GAAGCUGGAAUUGCUAGUAAUCACAGGUCAGCAUACUGUGGUGAAUACGUUCCCAGGCCUUGUACACACCGCCCGUCACACCAUGAGAGUUGAGAAUACCCGAAGCCCAUGUCAAAGUGGUCGAAGGUAGGCUUGAUGAUUGGGGUGAAGUCGUAACAAGGUAAC